rnacentral:rRNA from 1 species
GACGAACCGUGCGAACGUUAUUCGGAAUCAUUGGGCUUAAAGGGCGCGUAGGCGGCGGCGUAAGUUGGAAGUGAAAUCCCAUCGGCUCAACCGUGGAAUCGCUCCCAGUACUGCGUCGCUCGAGGGGGAUAGGGGUCUGCGGAACUACCGGUGGAGCGGUGAAAUGUGUUGAUAUCGGUGGGAACGCCAGUGGCGAAAGCGGCAGACUUGACCCUUCCUGACGCUGAGGCGCGAAAGCGUGGGGAGCGAACAGG